AUGAGGAGGUUUUUGGUUCCUAGAGCAAGUAUUGAGAAUGCAAGUGAUGUGCAUCCGGAAUCAGAACAAGACCCUCCUAUUCAUGUUGCUAACAAUAAUGAGUUUAAUCCGGACGAAAUUCAAUCUGAUCCCGCACUGAGAAAACAAAUUGCUGAAUAUGCACCACAAAUUCAAGACCAAGUUAGGAGGGCAUACAUAUUAAAGGGUCGAAGCAAACCAGUAUUAGAAUUUCGCCGAACGGAUUCAAGAGCAUUUUCUAAGUCAUGGUAUGAAAAGUAUAACUGGAUAGAAUAUAGCGAGUCCGAGGAUGCAGCUUUUUGUUUCUAUUGUUUCUUGUUCAAGCAAACUGGAAGGGCUGAACACUUUGGGUUUGAAGUCUUCACCAAAACAGGUUUUAGGGACUGGAAACAUGCAUAUAAAGCCUUACCUGAGCAUGUAGGUGGUCUGAAUAGUGGUCACAACAAUUGUGUUCGGCAUUAUGAUGAUUUCAAAAAUCAAAGACAAAGUGUGUCAACCAAGUUCGCUUGUGGAAUAGUAGAAUCUAAAUGAUUAUAUAAGAUCCGCUUGACUUCUUCUCUAGAGUGUGUAAGGUAUCUCAUAGCACAAGGUUAGUCAUUCCGUGGCCAUGAUGAAUCUACUACUUCAUUGAACAAGGGAAACUUUCUAGAGAUGAUAGAUUGGUUAAAGGAUAGCAAUGAAGAAGUAAGAGAUGCUUUUGAUCGUGGUGGAGAAAACUGCAAGAUGACUUCCGGUGAAAUACAAAAGGACCUUGCA
rnacentral:rRNA from 1 species